rnacentral:rRNA from 1 species
GAUGAACGCUGGCGGCGUGCCUAAUACAUGCAAGUCGAGCGAACAGACGAGGAGCUUGCUCCUCUGACGUUAGCGGCGGACGGGUGAGUAACACGUGGAUAACCUACCUAUAAGACUGGGAUAACUUCGGGAAACCGGAGCUAAUACCGGAUAAUAUCUUUAACCGCAUGGUUCAAUAGUGAAAGACGGUUUUGCUGUCACUUAUAGUUGGAUCCGCGCCGCAUUAGCUAGUUGGUAAGGUAACGGCUUACCAAGGCAACGAUGCGUAGCCGACCUGAGAGGGUGAUCGGCCACACUGGAACUGAGACACGGUCCAGACUCCUACGGGAGGCAGCAGUAGGGAAUCUUCCGCAAUGGGCGAAAGCUUGACGGGGCAACGCGGGGGGAGUGAUGAAGGUCUUCGGAUCUUAAAACUUUGUUAUUAGGGAGAAACAAAUGUGUAAGUAACUAUGCACGUAUUGACGGUACCUAAUCAGAAAGCCACGGCUAACUACGUG